rnacentral:tRNA from 1 species
GCCUGGCUAGCUCAAUCGUGUUAGAGCGUGAGACUCUUACUAUUAAGUCAUCUCAAGGCUGUGGGUUCAAGCCCCACGUCGGGCU